rnacentral:rRNA from 1 species
UAGGGAAUAUUGCACAAUGGGGAACCGUAGCAUGCAGCGACGCCGCGUGAAGGAAGAAGUAUCUCGGUAUGUAAACUUCUAUCAGCAGGGAAGACAAUGACGGUACCUGACUAAGAAGCCCCGGCUAACUACGUGCCAGCAGCCGCGGUAAUACGUAGGGGCAAGCGUUAUCCGGAUUUACUGGGUGUAAAGGGAGCGUAGACGGAUCUGCAAGUCUGGAGUGAAAGCCCGGGGCUCAACCCCGGACUGCUUUGGAAACUGUUGGUCUUGAGUACCGGAGGGGUAAGCGGAAUUCCUAGUGUAGCGGUGAAAUGCGUAGAUAUUAGGAGGAACACCAGUGGCGAAGGCGGCUUACUGGACGGUAACUGACGUUGAGGCUCGAAAGCGUGGGGAGCAAACAGGAUUAGAUACCC